CGUCAGUUCGUACUGUGAAGCAUCCUGUUAAGUCAGGCAACGAGCAAGACCCGUGCCCACUGUUACCAGCAUAUCCUUUAUGGAUGAUGGGGACUCUGUGGGGACCGCUGCUGCUAAAGCAGAGGAAGGUGCGGGCUACGGUAGGUCAGUAUGCCCCGAAUCUCCCGGGCUACACGCGGGCUACAACGGUUGGGACAAUGGGUACCUCCUCCGAAAGGAGUUGGCAAUCUCUUAAACCCAAUCGUAGUUCGAAUUGAGGGCUGUAACUCGCCCUCAUGAAGCUGGAAUCCGUAGUAAUCGCGUUUCAACA
rnacentral:rRNA from 1 species